AGAGUUUGAUCCUGGCUCAGAACGAACGCUGGCGGCGUGGUUGAUACAUGCAAGUCGAGCGGGAACGGUUCCUUCGGGAACUUAGUAUAGCGGCGGACGGGUGAGUGACGCGUGAUUAAUCUGCCCUCAGGACCGGGAUAGCCAUUCGAAAGGAUGGGUAAUACCGGAUAAGCCCACAGCUUCGCAUGAAGUAGUGGGAAAAAGGUUGGGCUCUUCGGACCUUCCGCCUGUGGAUGAAAUCGCGUCCUAUUAGCUUGUUGGUGGGGUAACGGCCUACCAAGGCAACGAUGGGUAGCGGGCCUGAGAGGGCGACCCGCCACACUGGAACUGAGACACGGUCCAGACUCCUACGGGAGGCAGCAGUGCUGAAUCAUUCGCCAAUGCGCGAAAGCGUGACGGUGCGACGCCGCGUGCGGGAUGAAGGCUUUCGGGUUGUAAACCGCUGUCAGGUCCUAGGAAACCAUAGGGGUGAAUAGUCUCUAUGCUGACCAGGUCCAGAGGAAGCACAGGCUAACUUCGUGCCAGCAGCCGCGGUAAGACGAAGUGUGCGAGCGUUGUUCGGAAUCACUGGGCGUAAAGGGUGCGUAGGCGGCAUGGUAAGUCAGGUGUGAAAUCCCCCGGCUCAACCGGGGAAUUGCUUUUGAUACUGCCAUGCUUGAGAGCGAAAGGGGCAAGCGGAAUUCCAGGUGUAGCGGUGGAAUGCGUAGAUAUCUGGGAGAACGCCGAUGGCGAAGGCAGCUUGCUGGGUCGCGUCUGACGCUGAGGCACGAAAGCUAGGGGAGCGAACAGGAUUAGAUACCCUGGUAGUCCUAGCCGUAAACGAUGGGCACUACGUUCCGGAGGGCCUGAUCCCUUCG
rnacentral:rRNA from 1 species